rnacentral:rRNA from 1 species
CCUACGGGGGGCAGCAGUGGGGAAUAUUGGACAAUGGGGGGAACCCUGAUCCAGCCAUGCCGCGUGUGUGAAGAAGGCCCUCGGGUUGUAAAGCACUUUCAGUGAGGAAGAACGCCUGGUGGUUAAUACCCAUCAGGAAAGACAUCACUCACAGAAGAAGCACCGGCUAACUCCGUGCCAGCAGCCGCGGUAAUACGGAGGGUGCGAGCGUUAAUCGGAAUUACUGGGCGUAAAGCGCGCGUAGGUGGCUUGAUAAGCCGGUUGUGAAAGCCCCGGGCUCAACCUGUGAACGGCAUCCGGAACUGUCAAGCUAGAGUGCAGGAGAGGAAGGUAGAAUUCCCGGUGUAGCGGUGAAAUGCGUAGAGAUCGGGAGGAAUACCAGUGGCGAAGGCGGCCUUCUGGACUGACACUGACACUGAGGUGCGAAAGCGUGGGUAGCAAACAGGAUUAGAUACCCUAGUAGUC